UACGUAGGGGGCAAGCGUUGUCCGGAAUUACUGGGCGUAAAGGGCGUGUAGGCGGCCGAUCAAGUCAGGUGUGAAAUUCCAGGGCUCAACCCUGGACGUGCACUUGAAACUGGUUGGCUUGAGUGCAGAAGAGGAAAGUGGAAUUCCCAGUGUAGCGGUGAAAUGCGUAGAUAUUGGGAGGAACACCAGUGGCGAAGGCGACUUUCUGGUCUGUAACUGACGCUGAGGCGCGAAAGCUAGGGGAGCAAACAGG
rnacentral:rRNA from 1 species